ACAGUAAUUAGGCGGGGCUGGCCUGGAGCUCUGUAUUCAGCCUUAAUUGAUUCCCUGGCACACACACCAGAGCUGGCCUCGGGAUCCUACACUUCCUUCAGUCUUGCUCAGCUCCCCUGGCUGUCCUCAUCAAUGCUCACUGUUCUCCACCUGUCGCCUCACUUUGUGACCGCUGAGUGACCAACACCCCUCCCCUCUGAGCCCCUGCCUGCCUUGACAGCUCUAUCCACUACCAACUCCAAGGAGUUUGUUUUCAAGUCUCAGUUCUUGGCCGCCUUCAGGCUGGAUACGUUGAAUGAACACCAGAUCCUAUCUGCCAAUAAAUAUUCAGGACAAAACAGCAAAUAUGACCUGCCCUCCCUGUGCACAGAAAUCACUGCCUACGGACAUACUGCAGUUCAAAAGGACCGCUGCUAGGCUGCCCUUUUCAAUACAGCACCAGGGAGACCACAGCCAUCCAUAAGGGCCCACUUGUGAGCUGAGACAGCUCUUCCCUGCAGAAGGGGCCAGCAGGACAUUUUUCAAGUGCAGUUGCUUUCCACGGAAACAGACAGGCAGUUCGAGAGCCUCGUUCUUCCUCUCUCUUUCUGUGAGAGCCAGACAACUUCAGACAUUCAGUUUGGUUUCCUUCUGGUAUGGGCUGGCGUCUCAUGAGGACUUGGCCUCUAAGACCCACCGUUAUCACAUCCUGAAAUUCUGGCCAGUGGAACAUGAAGCACCCAGGCAGGACUAUUGGUUGGAUUCCAGAUGAUGUUGCAGACUGAUUUGCGUGCCACCUGGAUUCCCGUUAGAAUGGGAGUAAACUUGGAGGUCCAGGUGGUUGAACCUAAGUCAUCCAGCUUUGUAACCAGUGUCUUUACCCCACGGAUCUUAUCCCAGGACCCCAUCCUUCCAAACUGUGAGCAUAUGUCUGUGUUCAUGAAACCCAUUCUGCAGUAAUUAGUUAUGGUCACCUGAGCAGAUGAACAAACUCUACUUCCAAGAACAACUUACCACCAGCAGGAAAAAGCAGAGCGCUAGUGUGAGGAGCAACUAAGUCUCUUCCUUCCCAUCUCCAUCCCUCCUGCUUCUAGCUCUCUGCAUCUUUCCAAAGCUCAGGGGAAACAAACCUAUACACUGUAUCAACCAAGACUCCGGCUUCUCUUUCUCUCCACACUUGGCCCCCAGCCCAAGCCUCCGAACUUCUUUAAGGAAAAAGGGAAAAGAAAAUGGGAAAGGAAAGAAAUUAAGAUGAAAGGAACCCCUGCUCCCGGUCUGUUCUCAGCAGAGAAACAACAGAAGGGCCACGCAAAACAGCUCACCAAGUGGCCCAGACAGGCGGUCCAUAUUCCUCCUGAUCUUAAGGAGCAUACUUGUCUCGCAGUGAAGGAGAGUUAGAGUUCCUCUAAUUACCCUAUGGAUUGUCUUCAAGGUUCAAGUGUUUGCUGUGACCCGAGAUUGAUCCCCAGAACCUGGAGUGUGGGGGGGGCUGCUCUCUGACCUCCACAGGUGCACUUUAGCCUCUGUGUGCCCUCACAUACACAACACACACACAUACACACAUGUAUACAAACAAUGAUCAGUAAAACUGAAAGAAAAAACCCCAACUCAUUAAGUGCAGAAGGGCACUGUUCACUCUCUCUGAGAGAGACACCCGGAAGCCCCAUGAACUAGAUGGAGUUCCUCAGUAGGCAAAUGCCUUGUUUUUUAAUGGUUGAGACUCCAAAAGGCACCCCACCACCCUACACCCCAGCCCCCUGCUUUGUUCUCUAAAGUAAGAGAGUGUUAGAAAGACAUUUCAUUUCUGUUUGCUUCCUAAGAGAGGAAAAGGAGAUAACCUGGGGUCACUUUGGACAUCUUGAGCCUGUUCCUGUAUUUGAGGGCUUUAGAAUAAAGAUCAGAACUUCAUCUGAAGGAGGAAAAAUGGACAAAAGCCAGGCACUUAAGGCUGGAACUGAGGGUCACGGGCACUAAUCUUGUUUUUCCUAAGAAUAUGAAUAUAUAUGUGUGUGCGUGUGUGCAUGUGUGCAUGUGUGUGUAUACAUACAUGU